GAUGAACGCUGGCGGCGUGCCUAAUACAUGCAAGUCGAGCGAACAGACGAGGAGCUUGCUCCUCUGACGUUAGCGGCGGACGGGUGAGUAACACGUGGAUAACCUACCUAUAAGACUGGGAUAACUUCGGGAAACCGGAGCUAAUACCGGAUAAUAUAUUGAACCGCAUGGUUCAAUAGUGAAAGACGGUUUUGCUGUCACUUAUAGAUGGAUCCGCGCCGCAUUAGCUAGUUGGUAAGGUAACGGCUUACCAAGGCAACGAUGCGUAGCCGACCUGAGAGGGUGAUCGGCCACACUGGAACUGAGACGCGGUCCAGACGCCUACGGGAGGCAGCAGUAGGGAAUCUUCCGCAAUGGGCGAAAGCCUGACGGGGCAACGCCGCGUGAGUGAUGAAGGUCUUCGGAUCGUAAAACUCUGUUAUGAGGGAAGAACAAAUGUGUAAGUAACUAUGCACGUCUUGACGGUACCUAAUCAGAAAGCCACGGCUAACUACGUG
rnacentral:rRNA from 1 species